rnacentral:rRNA from 1 species
GCGCGAAAACUUUACAAUGCUGGCAACAGCGAUAAGGGAACCUCGAGUGCCAGGUUACAAAUCUGGCUGUCGAGAUGCCUAAAAAGCAUUUCAUAGCAAGGGCCGGGCAAGACCGGUGCCAGCCGCCGCGGUAACACCGGCGGCUCGAGUGGUAACCGUUAUUAUUGGGUCUAAAGGGUAUGUAGCCGGCCGGAUAAGUCUCUUGAGAAAUCUGGCAGCUUAACUGUCAGGCUUUCAAGAGAUACUGUCUGGCUCGAGGCCGGGAGAGGUGAGAGGUACUUCAGGGGUAGGGGUGAAAUCUUGUAAUCCUUGAAGGACCACCAGUGGCGAAGGCGUCUCACCAGAACGGACCUGACGGCAAGGGACGAAAGCUAGGGGCACGAACC